rnacentral:lncRNA from 1 species
UUUUUUCCAGUUAUAAAAAAGUUAAAAUUAUAAAUUUCAUAUUAUGUUCUAAAUAAAGUAGAAAUGACAUUCUACGAAGUAGAAAACGAAAUCCACCUUUUUCAUUUAAUCUACAAUGUUUAGAAUACGUGAUCUACGUAAAUAUGAGUAUUCUAAAAAUAUUUAGAAUACACAUUCCACGCUUAACAUAUCGUUCUAA